rnacentral:rRNA from 1 species
AUACGGAGGGUGCAAGCGUUAUCCGGAAUCAUUGGGUUUAAAGGGUCCGUAGGCGGACUAUUAAGUCAGAGGUGAAAUCCCACAGCUCAACUGUGGAACUGCCUUUGAUACUGGUAGUCUUGAGUUAUAUGGAAGUAGAUAGAAUGUGUAGUGUAGCGGUGAAAUGCAUAGAUAUUACACAGAAUACCGAUUGCGAAGGCAGUCUACUACGUAUAUACUGACGCUAAGGGACGAAAGCGUGCGGAGCGAACAGGAUUAGAUACCCGAGUAGUCC